UACAUAUUUUCAUAUAGAGAUGCGGCUUUUAUGAUUCUGUAUCUCUUCUAAGACGUAAUAUGUACCACCUGCAAGAGUAUGUAAUGAUGAAGAAGGGUAUGGAGGAGAAAUUGUCAGCUACAUGCCACAUUCCGGUCAUUAAUACGCCAUCAGAAGCGAGUGCCCAACGAGCAGGGGAAAGAGAUACUGAUAAAGAGGCAGGUCAUCGCUGCCAUCUCGCGUCAUCAUCAUCAUCAGGGGCGGAGCUCCGCUUAGCUCCAGUUGUUGUCCGCCGGAAUGCUGCCGCUUUUGCUACUCCUGCUACCACCUGAACCAAAUACUAGCCGUAGAAUAAAAUGCUAACUAUUGCAGCGCAUUCAAAUUGACGGCCAAUACCCGCACAGAAAACUCCUCCAACGGCUCCCGCAGGCCAUCGAUGUUUAUAAAAAUGGAAAAGAAAACAUCGAUGCAUCGAUAGCACCAUCGAUGUUUUUCUCCCAUCACUGGUCAGCAGCUCGCAUCCCUAACAGUGAAAAAUUAGAAAAUUGCUUACAAUUGGAGUGCAAAUUACGCUUGAACCAAACUAAACGAAAGAUCAGAAAUGUUGCCGAAAGUAGUGCUCCUGAUGGCCCCCAUUGUGGGAAGCCUGGCCACCGCUUACAUUUGGAACGUUAUCGCCAAGAUGGAACGCGACCGGCAAUUCAAAAAAUGUCUCAUUACGGAUAUUGAAAAGCGCCUGGAAGCAGUGCACAAUGCACGCGCCCAAGGAGAGGAGGAGGACGGCGAUGCCAUUGACCCACUCGACGAAAUGGCCGAACUGGCUUACCAAAUGGAACUCGAAGAAUAAAUAAUCACAUAUCUGCAUUUACAUUAUUUUGGUUUACGAGUAAAGUACAAAAAUAAAAAUAGUUAAACCGCAA